UUUUUUUCAUUUGGUUUGGGACUUAAAAUAACCAGCAGUAUGUAGGCCAACCAAAAAGCCUGCUGACCUGGAGGCAUCCUUGACAUGAAGUCCCACUUACCUUCUCUUAUUUAGAGCUUAACUUCAUUUUCAGUUUCAUCAAGCCGUUUGGGGGCAUUUCUCUUGGCAGCAGUAAGGCUGGGAAGCACUACCUGUGAAGUUUGAGGCUGGAAUCCACCCAGACCCCACUGAAUCACUGAUUUCUCAGCUUAACUCCAAUGAACUGGGGUAGAACUGGGUAUUCUUAAGUAUCACCCAGGGCAGAAAAAAACUCAACGCGCUAUCUAAAUUAUCCAACUAUCCGGAUUGAAAGAUUUUACUUGGAUAAGACAUACUUGCUUCUGAAAUUCGGCAGGAGAGUCUUCUGGUUUCAAAUCUAUGGGUGCCAACACUGAUCAUGGAUAUAUGAUCUGUAAAGCAAAUCACUUAUUUUGGUAUUUUGCUACUUGGUAAGAAUAAAAUGGAGAAAACUGUUUAGGGAAUCUGGAUCUUCAUGCAUCCUCUAUCCUUCCAGUGUGCUCUCUGCUCAAGGGCUGGGGUUGGGGAGGCAUGGGAAUUUCCAUUUUAUUGCACGAUGUUUAGGGCCUGGUCAGCGGAGGAGCGAUGAGCUGACGCACAUUCUUCACCCCCUCCCCCCCACUUUUUUAACUUAUUUUUUAAUGGCUGUACCUGUGGCAUAUGGAAGUUCCCAGGCCAGGGAUGGAAUCUAAGUGGCAGCUGUGACCUACACUGCACCUGUGGCAACAACGGAUCCUUUAAGCCACUGUACCAGCCUGGGGAUGGAACCUGAGCCUCUGCAGCAACCCAAGCCACUGCAGUUGGACUCUUAACCCACUGCGCCAUAGCAGAAGUGCCUACACACAUGCUUGGACGAGGAAAGGCGGCCACAGCCCUUUGUGCCAGCAUCUCAUUAUGCCUUUCCUCCGCUCUUUUUGCCAAAGCGCCCUGCUAGAUUAUAAAAGGGAUGUGACAAGGAACAUCUCACCAGAUUCUGCAAAAGCAGAUUGGGGCGAUGGAAAACUGAAAUACAGAAAGUGAAGCUAAGAAACCAAUUCUGAAAGCAGUGUUUGACAGGUAAGAAGGCACGGGAAGGUGUCAGGGGUACCCAGGUCUAUACAACCAGCCGAGGGCAGGAAGCAACAGAAGAACCCAUUAUCCCGGCACCCACACAGGGUUUCCGAACACAGCUCCCUGCAUGGUAACAAGGAGGUUAGCACUGACUCUUACUCAAAAUUAAAUUCGAUUAGAUAUUUCUGGUGGGAAUACUUUAGAAAUGAAAAAGCAUUUUCAAUUUCAAUUAAAUUAAAUACCCAAUUAUGUCACUGGGAAAUUUACCUCCGUAGGAAUCUGUUUUACUUUUACCCUUUUAUUAAAAGAAAAAUUCACGUUUUCCUUUCUGGUCAUACAUUAAAGCGUUUUAGGCAAAAUGGCUCGUUUUCAUCUGAUUAAAAUGCAGCCUAUUUUAGGUUUGGGGAUGAGAAUCUGAAGUCCAGGGACCCAGUGAAAUUGUGUGGAAUAGUUCUUAGCUGUACACAUACAUAUUUUUCUAGGACAAAGGUUCUUAGCUUUGAUCAGAUUUUUCAAAUGGAUCUCUGACUUUUCCCAAAGAUUAAUAACUUCUGUUCCAGAGGGAGCUGAGGUUUUGGCGAAAGUAAGGGAUCCUUACUCCAGAGCCUUGUUUCUCUCAAUAGUUCCUAAAUCUUUUGGAUUUGCACAAUUGCUUUUAAAUUCACAAAGGAAAUCCGUAAGACCUACAAAGAAAAGUAAACUUGGCUCUCACUGGAAGGGGACUGGGCAGGAACUGAUUAAUUCUGCAGUGAUGAGAAUUUAAUAUACAACUUUUUACUUCAUUUCAGGUAGCCUGAAUUUCAGAUAUGAUAUUGUCAGCAAAGAAACCAUUUCUUUUCCUCCCCCACAACUUCUUCUUUUUUUCUUCUUUUAACCUUAAAAAAGGUUUCUAUUUAUUUGAUUUGCAUUUUCCUAGCAAGGUCUUUUCUUCUGAAUUCAAGAGACUGGGAGUGAAAUUAUUCCACCUGGGGAGAAGAGAAAGCUGAAAGCCAAUUUAAUAUUGGUUUUCAAAUACAUGAAGGGCACUCAGAGAGAGGAUGUUAGCUAAAGGAAAUGGUCUUUGAACUAAACUACGAAGAAUCUGAGUUUUGCUCUAAAGUUAAAUUUCCUGGCAUAAAGCAUUCAUAACCCUAAACUGAGAGACUGAAAGAUCGCUUUUGGAGACUUUAUAAAUAGGACAGAUUCUUAAAUGUCUGGGAUGAGGUCCUACCUGAUGUCAGGAGGAUAAAUUUCACCACCAGCAGCAAUCCCUUCCUGGCCUAAAAGCCUAAGGAUAUGGCUGGUGUGUCAGAAGUUCUAACACUAGCCCUGGACAUCCAGAGUCACGUCUCCAUCAGGGGCUGGACAGCAGCCAAUCAGCAACCUCACACAUUGGCCAUCUCUCAGCUGGUCCCCACUCCUGCUUCUGUCUGAGUCUGGGGAGCGGUAACCAAGCGCAGGGAGAGCUCUGCUCCCUAAUUUCACCCCCAGUUCCCAUCAAGCCCUCAGAGAUCCAGGGUUUGCAAGAAAAACAAAAGCAGAACUCAGGCAUUGUAGUCAAAAUUGCAUGAGUGCCCAUUUUGUUUAAAUCCAUAUUAAGCUUCACAGCACACCUUUUUUCUCCCUCUUGGCAAAAGGUAAGAGCCCAGCUCUGUUUCCGAAACCAAUACCUUCUAAGACCGGGCUGGUUUCAGCCUUCCUUUUUUUUUUGCUGGACAAUGCUGCCCCUACUUUGAAAGGAGGCGAUAUCUAUAGCUAGACCUUCAGGCUGGCCUCAAAAGUCUUUCUGUGGCUCCCCAAGGGAAAACCCUAAGGGACACAUCCGGGUCUGGAAGCUCCGCUCCCCUGACUCCAGUGGGCCUGUGCGCACAGGCUCAGAGAUUCUGAGUUGUUCGGGGAUCCUGGAAAACAUCUGGUCAACCCUUGUCUGCAAUGUGUGCCCCUUGGUCACAGCUCCCAAGUGGUCACCGAGCUCCAAGAGGUUUCCAAUCAAACCAUUUGAAAGCUGUCCUGCUCUCAGCAAGAGAAAGUACUGAGCUGAAGUCUGCUCCCUCCUCUUGCCCUUCGUGUCCAUGUCACAAGAGUCUUUGCAACGUCACUCAAAGAGCUAAACAUCGGACUUUCACUUGGACGGUCAAGUCCAAAGGCAGCUGCAGCACACAUGCCCUCUGAGGUUCAGGAGCAGAAUCCCUAGCAGGUUGCUGCCAACCUCCUUUCGCAGAAACAAAAUAAUCUGAAAAACAUGUCUGAGGAUACUCUGCACGUGAGGAACCCCCACAAAAUGCUGAUCCACGGGAAAACAUCAAAGGAUAAACUGUGUAUUUGUGGGGGUGCCUGCCAUGGAGCUAAAAACCCAGCACAAACCAAAGGAGGCUAAUAAGCUCAAGAUGGAAAAAAUACUCAGACAAUGCGCACAUCGUGGUUCUAUUAAUAUUGGUAAUAUGGUAAUAUUAAUAUAGUAACAUUAAUAUGGCACCUUUACUGGAAUUCCUGUUGUGGCUCAAUGGAGACGAAUCUGACUGGUAUCCAUGAGGACUCAGGUUUGAUCCCUGGCCUCGCUCAGCGGGUUGAGGAUCUGGCUUUGCCGUGAGCUAUGGUGUAGAUCGUAGACGUGGCUCAGACCCUGCAUUGCUGUGGCUGGGGUGUAGGCCGAUAGCUACAGCUCCUAUUCAACCCCUAACCUGGGAACCUCCAUAUGCUGUGGGUGAGGGCCUAAAAAGCAAAAUAUAUGUACAUAUGACACCUUUACUUAGUGGCUGAUAAAAAAGCGAAAGCAUCAAUGAGAAUAAUAGGAAAGCGGAAAGUGGAAGUCACUGACUCUCCCCUGAGCACACGGCGGCUGGCACAGCAGGUAGAAGUCAUCACCCAGAGAAUGGGGACGUCCCCCUCCCUCCUAGAGGAGGCCACUGUGCCAUGUGCACAUGUGACAUGGCAGGAAAGAGAUGAACAGCUAGUGGGACCAAGAGUGGGCGGUUAAAUGGACCAAGAAAGGGCUCCACCACCGGAUGAAAUCAGGAAGGGAAGGGAGUGUUUAAGGCUGUCCAAAGUCUGAAAGGGUGUGAGGAUGGAAUGUCUUCCUCACCGGUGUCCUCCAAGACUGAGACUGGGACUAAGCUACCUCCGUGUCACCCUGAGAGCCUGCCCCCACCAGGUGUUCCACACACACUUACUGCCACAUGCAUUGUGUCCUGGCCCAAGGCAGCGCUGAGAACCAGCUCAUUUUUGGAAGAGAUGUCCUGGGACACAAGUCUCUGUGGGAAAGGACUCCGCUACCUGAUUCCAAGCUCAGAACAGCCUCAAUGGAUCUGACGCUGCGUGAGAACAGAUGCAGGGAGAAGUCUUAUAAGCCAUGAAAAGGGACCACGCAAAGUCCAACAGAGGAAAAAAGCCAGUAUAUAUCUUUUUGAGGAUUCUUUUUUUCUACUCUUUACUUACAAAAAUAAAUCCCUCCCUAGCUCUGCUGUCUCUCUAUCAAACGUUUUCUUGCCUGCUGCAAAUCCACUGUUUGAACAUCACUAAGACCUUGAACUCCACAGAGCACAAGCAGUGAAGAUAAGCAAAUGCUGCCCUAAGAAACUUACUGUCUAUACUGCUUACUAUCGGUGGGUUUCAACUACACUUCUUACCAUAAUCAUGUGCCCUUAAUUUUUUUUUUUUUGGCUGUUCCUGCAACAUGCAGAAGUUCCACGUCAAGGAUUGAGCCCGAGCCAAAGCAAUAACCUGAGCCACAAUGCCGAGUCCUUAACCGAGACGCCACCAGGGAACCGCACAUGCCAUUAAUUAAAGACGUUUCUGGACAAUUUUUUUAUAAUGCAAAAAAUCAUGACAAUGUCCUUGGGCCUAUGACCCCAUUAUGCCUACAGCACGCUACUCCCCGGCCUGCCCUGGGGAUUGCUUAAUAAGGAUUUCGAGUUUUAUAUUCAUGGCCAUAAUGUCACCUAUGGAAAUAAGUAUUGUGCUGUUUGCCUUUCUUUGCUGUUUUUUUUUGCAAUCUCGUUUCAGCCUCGGGAUCUCUGGCACACUUGGCCCUUGUGCCAGGACAGAAGACACAAGAUCAGUCCUGACAGACACAAUGUCAACGUUGUCUUUGCUCUGAGUGCAGAUAUGAUGACCUUCUGGCACAAAUGUGCAUGGGGCAGACGGCACAUUUCAGAAACGACUGUGCCAGAAGGACAUGAAGAAAGGCAAUAAUUUCUCUUUCCCAAUAUGUGACAACUUUAAGAUUUCAAAAGAAUAAUAAAGAUUUCUGUGAAAGGACUGGUUUGUGGCAACUGCUUUUCUUUUCCUGAUCCCAUCAAUACCAGGUGUGCUGACCCUCAGCACAGGACCAGGUAUUUUCUUCUUACUUAAGACUCCCUGGGCAGCUAUUAUCAGUAUUAAUUUUCUUUUAUCCAGAUCAAUUCUAUUUUAAAAAAAAUGUCUUUUGGAGUUCCCAUUGUGGCACAGCGGAAAUGAAUCUGACUAGGAACCAUGAGGUUGUGGGUUUGAUCCCUGGCCUCACUCAGUGGGUUAAGGAUCCAGCAUUGCCGUUAGCUGUGGUGUACGUCACAGAUGUGGCUCAGAUUCUACAUUGCUGUGGCUGUGGCUGUGGCUGGCAGCUGCAGCUCUGACUUGACCACUAGCCUGGAAAUUUCCAUAUGCCAUGGGUGCGGCCCUAAAAAAAAAAAAAAAAAAAAGGACAAAAGACAAAAACAAAAAUUUCUUUUAGCCACAGCACUUUAUUUACCAAAAUAUGUAAUGGCAUAACCUCCAUCUGAGGGAACUUUAAAUCAAAGAGGUAUUUUUAAAUUCUAUGAGUUGCUUCUGAUUAUAAAAACUUAUGUUCAUUAUGAGAACUGGAAAAGGGUAAAAAUUUUAAAUAAUCUACAUGCCACCAACCAAAUGAUCUCUAAUAACAGACUGCAUAUUUAUAAAAUUGAGAUCAUCCACUAUAGACUGUUUCAUAUGCUUAUUUUUUAGUUAACCUAUAAAAUUUUCUCAUGACAUAAAUAAGGACUCUUCAAAAUCAUAUUUUAAUUUCACAUGGGGCAUAGGAAUUUUUUUUCCAAUUCCUUGAUGUGUUAAAUAAAACUAUGAUAUGCAUUCCUGAAGAUAUUUUAAAUUUCUCCACUCGUGCUCCAAAUUGCUUUGCAGAAAAUAAAACAGUUUCGAGCUCUAUAAGGAUACUACAAGAAUAUCUGCUCCCAGUCCUUUACAGACUUUAAAUUUUUGCCAAUUUGAUAGGUAACACGUUAUGAUGCCGAAAUUUUCAUUGGCCUUUUUUUCAUAUGGUUUUUUGGACAGCUGGAUAUCUUCUUUGGAACAGGCUACUCAGGGCCUUUACCCACUCUUCUUUUACAGCACUGGGUUUUUCUCCUAAAUGAUAUUUAGGAGUCCUUUAUGUUUUAAGGAUAUUGACAGAUCGCAAAUUUUCCCCAGUUUGUCAUUUACCUUGAAAUCUACGAUCAUGUUCUAAAAACUCAGAUAGGAGUUGGCAUCUGUGUCAUUGCUGUGAACUUUCAGGUGUCACUGGAAAUUAUUCCACUUGUAAUAAUAAGAUGCAUUUACAUUCUGAACUUGUCCAUGGACUGUUAGCCACCUAAAAUAUGAAACCACUAGAACCUUUGGAAAAAGAAAGCCUUUGAUUGACAACUAUGGAAAGACCAAAGAAGUGCCAGUAAUUUCCAUUGCUCUUUGGCUGUUCACAAUGUCAGGACCCAGUCAUGCCCCAAAGAUCUUACCCCAACACAGUGCUUUUCCUCAAGCCCUAGGAACCACACACCGCAAGCAAAGGCCAGGACCAAACCACCAUCCUCUGGAAUUCAGUUUGCAAUUCUAAGGUGACUGAAUGCAAAGAAUAAAUACAACAGUUUGAGUAAAAACAUUCACUGAGCCGCUUGAACUGCUGAGUCUCAAGCUGGCAUGUUAACUAUGGGAAAGAGUCCUUAUGAUUUAACUCUCUCAGUCUGAGGUAUGGACCCAGGAUAUUAAAUUCACGAGAAAUUUUCAGAAAAUGCUAAACACAGAGCAUGUAACUAAGAAUGCAACUGAAAAACCAGCAAUCAGGAGUUCCCUUCGUGGCUCAGCAGUUAAGGAACAUGACUAGGACCCAUGAGGAUGUGGGUUCGAUCCCAGGCCUCGCUCAGUUGGUUAAGGAUCCAGCAUUGCCGUGAACUGUGGUGUGGGUCGCAAAUGCAGCUUGGAUCCCACAUUGCCAUGGCUGUGGUGCAGGCCAGCAGCUGUAGAUCUGAUUCGACCUCUAGCCUGAGAACUUCCAUAUGACACGGGUGUGACCCAAAAAAGCAAAAGGAAGGAAGGAAAGAUGGGAGGGAGGGAAGAAGGAAAGAAAGAAAAACAGGCAAUCAGUGGAGAGCUAAGAUCAAAAACAGUACAGAAUGGGGAGUUCCCGUCGAGGCGCAGCUGAAACAAAUCCACUAGGAACCAUGAGAGAUUAGAAAUAUAUUAGAGGGAAUCUACAUUCUGCUUAAUCAGAAGAACCUGGUACAGGUAUGAGAUUAAUUUGCAGUUCCCCUUGAACAGCACAGCAUCACCAGGCCAUGGGUUCAUCAUCCCGAAGCCAGAGGAUGCAGCCUGAAUGGAGUGUGUUCUUCACCUGGUCCAUUUCCUCCAUCCUGCUCUGAAUGGUUUGCAACUUUUCAUUAAUUCAUAGAAAAGAUGAUUCCCACAGAUCUGCAUCACCUGCUUUUUUUUUCUCCUUAACCCAAGAUGAUACCUUUGGGGGGGGGCGAUGUGGAUCAAUUGUAAAUUAUUUUAAAUAAGCCUUACAGUUGCUAUUACUAUUAAUGGUAACAUAUCCUGAAACAAUAUCAAAUACUUGACAAAAUCAAGCACUAUGUGUAGGUUUUUUGUUGGGUUUUUUUUUUUUUUUGAUUGUUUUAUUUGGUUUUUGUUAAACCAAAAGGUGGCUGUAACCAGGGCAUGCAGAAGUUACCAGGCCAGGGAUCAAACCCGCGCCACAGCAGAGACCCAAGCCGCUGCAGUGACAGCUCUGGAUCCU
rnacentral:lncRNA from 1 species